rnacentral:lncRNA from 10 species
CUCCUGCCCCUGUGUGUACUCCUAGGUUUAAUGAAAAUUGGUGCCUCCGGAGCUCUCCUCCCGGGGGGGAGAGCAGCUCCUCUCGUGGUGCGGUUGCUUGUUCUCGCAGCCAGAACACACUGGGCCAGGGCUGUUGUGUGUAAACACACACACGCACACACACCUGCUUCAUCCCGGCUCCCUUCUCUCCGAGUUGCCUGGGUUGGCCUCCAUUUGGAGCCUACCUGCUGGUGUUUAUCACAGUCGGUGUUUUCCCCCUUCCAUGUUCCUCAGCAAAGCUGGUGCUUAUCUGAGCAGCGGGCGAUUUUUCUGAAGUGACCUCCGCCGAGCGGGAGAUUUAUGGUGGCGUUUGCUUUCAUUAUGUGUGGAGGCUGCCUCGUGAGCUCGCUGCGUGGCUGUCGGAGGAAGAGCAGAACGCUUCCCAGAAUAAGCCUCCGGAGCUUUCAAGACCCGCUGGUAAAAUUGAAGACUAAUCCAUUAAGGCUUAGCAACGAAGAAAGAAUCUGCACCUUGGGAGGAACAGCUAAGUAUCAUGGCCAAAACUUGUUCCUGGGGUUCCUUUUUCCCUUGAGGGUUUCUUGCUUAUGGUGCUGUUGUCCCCACAUUAAUCUCUGCAGAACACUCCUCCAAUAAUGUUUAAUCCAAAGGUAAACUCAACUGUCUCCUUUAUUU